GUCCACUAUCCUGUCCUGGAGGAUCUUACGUCUCAUCAGGCAUCUGUCUGGAGUGUCCAGCUGGACAUUUUUGUAUUGGCAAUGUAACUGCACCCAGGAGGUGUCCCGUUGGCACCUACAACAUCCACCCCGGAAAAGGAAAUUUCUUGGACUGCCAGACCUGUCCUGCUGGAUUAAUUAGCACUCUAGAUGGGGUGGACUGCAAAAUGUGCCCAACAGGGUAUUCCUGCAACAGCACCACCGGCGC
rnacentral:lncRNA from 1 species